AACGCACAUUGCGCCCUCUGGUAUUCCGGAGGGCAUGCCUGUCCGAGCGUCAUUGCUGCCCUCAAGCACGGCUUGUGUGUUGGGCCCCGUCCUCCUUCCGGGGGACGGGUCCGAAAGGCAGCGGCGGCACCGCGUCCGGUCCUCAAGCGUAUGGGGCUUUGUCACUCGCUUUGUAGGCCUGGCCGGCGCUUGCCGAUCAACCAAACUUUUUAUCAGGUUGACCUCGGAUCAGGUAGGGAUACCCGCUGAACUUAA
rnacentral:misc_RNA from 4 species